CACUAUCGGGACUUUGACAAGAACAGUGUCCAGGACAUCACAGGUGCCCUGUUCAAGCACAGCGAGAAGAGGUCUGGAGCCAGCAGCGACCUCAUCCCCCAGCAGAAGAUUGUCAACCUUGUCAAUGACAUCUUUGGAGCAGGGUUUGAUACAAUCACAACAGCCAUCUCCUGGAGCCUCAUGUACCUUGUGACCAAGCCUGAAAUACAGAGGAAGAUCCAGAAGG